rnacentral:lncRNA from 1 species
ACAAAACAUCAAGCCAACAGUUCAGGACUAGUCAUUCAAAUGGACUAAAGGUGGGGGAGAAAAAAUAAGAGUGGAUAAAAGAAAGAAAGAAAACAGAGAAAGGUGGGAAAAAAAAAACAAAGGAAGGAAGAGAGAAAAGAGAAUGAGAGGAAGAGAAGGAAGGGGAAAAACAAGAUUGACUUUACAGUAUGAGAUAUACUAUUAUAUAUUGGACCCUUGGUGGGCAGUGCCUAAACAGAGACAACUACAGGUUUCUGGCUGUGGCCACUCUCUGGUGAAACUAAGGGGUUUCUGUGUGGAGGUGCCUAACAGCCACCGUCCAGUUUGGGUAAAGAAAGCUUUUUAUGGUUCACUAAGGACAAUCAACCCCUUCGCAAUCUAGAACCAAAAGACUGGAUCUUCUGAGAACAUCUACUGUAAGAACUAUAGUUACACAACAGACUUUGAAUUCUCUUGUGAAAGUUAAGGUAGAAUUGGCUGAACAGAGGAGUAUCUGUGCGGCUGCUGGCAUUUGUGGCUUAUGGAGAAACACAUUAAAUGAAGAUUACAGAGAUUCAUUGGCAGGGGAUUAACAGAGAUUGCUUAAUUAAGUGAGUAGGCUCACUAUCUAGCUCAUUCUUUGAUCUAUUUGAUUUUAGGUGGUUUGGUUUAUGGGGACCCGGGGAAAGAAGCAUACUCCAAACUCUUAGUAUUAUCCUCCCGAUGGUUAUAAUAAUAGUUGUCCUGUUGUGCUGUAUUUUCUGAAAGGUUUUAAAUGCUUGCAUGCAGCCAUCUCUAGAAUGUCAAAUGGUCUCUCUUCAACUGGAAUGACAAGAGCUUAAAGAAACAUGUGACCAUGAGGAAACCAUAAACUAUGAAUAAUGUGUUGAGACCAGAAACCCAAAAUGAUGGUAACUGAGUGGUGCUAAGGCCCUAAGUUUUGGUCACACUCUCACCUAAGUGAGAACUUGACCAAAAAGGAGGGAAGUUUUUAAAACAAAAUUGUGGGAAGUCAUUUGUUUUGAUUGAGUUCAUGCACUCAGCCCCAACAGAUCAAACCAAACCAAAAUGGAGUUGCUUGUGUUAAGACUAUAAGGAAACAGAUACAUUCUAGAACAGACCAUGUUUUGUUUUUCUCCUGCAAAUCUCUGUAACAAACAUUCCUGACAACAUAGGCAUCCACUCCCUGAAGUUCCCAUUAAGUCUUUUAACUAAAUUCACUUCCUCUGGCCUAGAGACCAUCAAGCUUCAGAUGCUCAUGUGACAAGGGUUCCAGCCAGUUCCAGGUGAAGACACCACUCCUAGCCAUCAAGGAACUACCCUGUCUCCACUAGACAGAGAAGGGUGAGAGUUCUGUGAUCCUCAACAGAUAGGGACCAUGCCCCAAGCCAGCAUAAAGCAAUUACAGAAGAAAGACCAUUGGUCUCUCCGCCUCCCAUAUAGAUGUAUGGGGAUCACGCCUUUCACGUGGGGAAUGAGGCAGGAGAACAGGGCCUGGAGGCAGGGAACCCUAAGUACUUCUUAAAACUAAAUCAAAUGGAAACACUUCAGUCAUGACAAGAAAUAUCCCCUUCAUUUACAUAGGGCAUACACCUAGGAAAUGACUUUGUAACUUUACUUUAUGCUCUUCAUUGACAUAGGGCUUACAACAAGAAACCAGUGGAAAUCUCCAGAGGAAAUUUAAACCCCAGAAAAUUCUGUAACUCAGCUCUAUGCUGGAGCCACUCCCACCCUGUAGAGUGUACUUUCACUUUCAGUAAUUUAAACCCCAGAAAAUUCUGUAACUCAACUCUAUGCUUGAGCCCACUCCCACCCUGUGGAGGGUACUUUCACUUUCAAUAAUUUAAACCCCAGAAAAUUCUGUAACUCAGCUCUAUGCUUGAGCCCACUCCCACCCUGUGGAGCGUACCUUCACUUUCCAUAAAUCUCUGCUUUCGUUGCCUC